rnacentral:rRNA from 1 species
UACGAGGGGGGCGAGCGUUGUUCGGAAUUAUUGGGCGUAAAGGGUGCGUAGGCGGUUCCGCAAGUCCUGUGUGAAAUCUUCGGGCUCAACUCGAAGUCUGCACGGGAAACUGCGGGGCUUGAGUGUGGGAGAGGUGAGUGGAAUUCCCGGUGUAGCGGUGAAAUGCGUAGAUAUCGUCUGGAACGCCGAAGGUGAAAACAGCUCGCUGGGGCUGCGCUGACGCUGAGACACGAAAGCCAGGGGAGCGAACGGG